rnacentral:rRNA from 1 species
UACGGAGGGUGCGAGCGUUGUCCGGAAUCACUGGGCGUAAAGGGCGCGUAGGCGGCGCGGGCAGUCAACGGUGAAAGCUUAAGGCUCAACCCCGAGUCGGCCGUCGAUACUCCCGGGCUGGAGCACUGUAGAGGCAGGUGGAAUUCCGGGUGUAGCGGUGGAAUGCGUAGAGAUCCGGAAGAACACCGGUGGCGAAGGCGGCCUGCUGGGCAGUAGCUGACGCUGAGGCGCGACAGCGUGGGGAGCAAACAGG